rnacentral:miRNA from 1 species
UUUGUCCACGUGAACAGAAAACGC